GACGAACGCUGGCGGCGUGCUUAACACAUGCAAGUCGAACGGAAAGGCCCUGCUUGCAGGGUAUUCGAGUGGCGAACGGGUGAGUAACACGUGGGUGAUCUGCCCUGCACUUCGGGAUAAGCCUGGGAAACUGGGUCUAAUACCGGAUAGGAGCCAUCUUUAGUGUGAUGGUUGGAAAGUUUUUUCGGUGUAGGAUGAGCUCGCGGCCUAUCAGCUUGUUGGUGGGGUAAUGGCCUACCAAGGCGGCGACGGGUAGCCGGCCUGAGAGGGUGGACGGCCACAUUGGGACUGAGAUACGGCCCAGACUCCUACGGGAGGCAGCAGUGGGGAAUAUUGCACAAUGGGCGCAAGCCUGAUGCAGCGACGCCGCGUGGGGGAUGACGGCCUUCGGGUUGUAAACUCCUUUCGCUAGGGACGAAGCCUUUUGUGACGGUACCUAGAUAAGAAGCACCGGCUAACUACGUG
rnacentral:rRNA from 1 species